rnacentral:rRNA from 1 species
GACGAACGCUGGCGGCGUGCCUAACACAUGCAAGUCGAACGGAGAUGUUAAGGAAGUUUUACUGAAUUAAUGUCUUAGUGGCGGACGGGUGAGUAACGCGUGGGUGACCUACCCAUAAGAGGGGGAUAACAGUUGGAAACGACUGCUAAUACCGCAUAAGCUGAGCAAUCAGUAAAGGAGGCCUCUGAAAAAUGCUUCCGCUUAUGGAUGGGCCCGCGUCUGAUUAGCUGGUUGGUGGGGUAAAGGCCUACCAAGGCGACGAUCAGUAGCCGGCCUGAGAGGGUGAACGGCCACACUGGGACUGAGACACGGCCCAGACUCCUACGGGAGGCAGCAGUGGGGAAUAUUGCGCAAUGGGGGAAACCCUGACGCAGCGACGCCGCGUGAGCGAAGAAGGCCUUAGGGUCGUAAAGCUCUGUUGAAUGGGAAGAAAAAAUAGACGGUACCAUUCGAGAAAGGACCGGCUAACUUCGUGCCAGCAGCCGCGGUAA